GACGAACGCUGGCGGCGUGCCUAAUACAUGCAAGUUGAGCGAUGAAGAUUGGUGCUUGCACCAAUUUGAAGAGCAGCGAACUGGUGAGUAACGCGUGGGGAAUCUGCCUUUGAGCGGGGGACAACAUUUGGAAACGAAUGCUAAUACCGCAUAACAACUUUAAACAUAAGUUUUAAGUUUGAAAGAUGCAAUUGCAUCACUCAAAGAUGAUCCCGCGUUGUAUUAGCUAGUUGGUGAGGUAAAGGCUCACCAAGGCGAUGAUACAUAGCCGACCUGAGAGGGUGAUCGGCCACAUUGGGACUGAGACACGGCCCAAACUCCUACGGGAGGCAGCAGUAGGGAAUCUUCGGCAAUGGACGAAAGUCUGACCGAGCAACGCCGCGUGAGUGAAGAAGGUUUUCGGAUCGUAAAACUCUGUUGGUAGAGAAGAACGUUGGUGAGAGUGGAAAGCUCAUCAAGUGACGGUAACUACCCAGAAAGGGACGGCUAACUACGUG
rnacentral:rRNA from 1 species